rnacentral:lncRNA from 1 species
UGAAUCAGCAGGACUUGAGGAACUCAACCUGAAGGCAGGUGCUGAGCUGCAGGAACUGACACAGCCCCACAGCAGUGCCACCAGCCCUGAGAUAAUGCACUCCUGAUAUCCCUGAGAUGGGAGAGACAAGCAAGGAGCAAGAGAUCAAAGCAAGGAGAAGAAAGAGGAGAUGCUAAAGGCAGGAGAAGAAAGAGGGGAAGAUGCCAAACAUUUCCUUGAUCUACCUACUUUCCAUACCCGGUACCGAGUGUCAGAAAUCCUUCCUUUUGAGAUCCCUUUCCUGUGGUGUUUAUAAGGAAAUCUUGAAACCUAAGAAGAGCAGCCAAGGAUAAUAACACUGAAUAUAGAGAUGCAGGAAAUAUGUGAACACAACAGCAGCUUUCCUUUGAAAUGGGAUGUGUAAGAUGAAGGCAAAUCCAACAUUAAUGCAGCAUUCCUGCCAGAAAACCAGCAGUCACUCCUGCAUUUCA